GAACGGACUCUUCGGAGUUAGUGGCGGACGGGUGAGUAACACGUGGGAACGUGCCUUUAGGUUCGGAAUAGCUCCUGGAAACAGGUGGUAAUACCGAAUGUGCCCUUCGGGGGAAAGAUUUAUCGCCUUUAGAGCGGCCCGCGUCUGAUUAGCUUGUUGGUGAGGUAAUGGCUCACCAAGGCUACGAUCAGUAGCUGGUCUGAGAGGAUGACCAGCCACAUUGGGACUGAGACACGGCCCAAACUCCUACGGGAGGCAGCAGUGGGGAAUCUUGCGCAAUGGGCGAAAGCCUGACGCAGCCAUGCCGCGUGUAUGAUGAAGGUCUUAGGAUUGUAAAAUACUUUCACCGGUGAAGAUAAUGACUGUAGCCGGAGAAGAAGCCCCGGCUAACUUCGUG
rnacentral:rRNA from 1 species